GACAGAGGGUGCAAACGUUGCUCGGAAUCACUGGGCGUAAAGGGCGUGUAGGCGGGAUGGUAAGUCGGGCGUGAAAUCCCCAAGCUCAACUUGGGAACUGCACUCGAAACUACCUUCCUUGAGUGUCGGAGAGGAAAGCGGAAUUCCUGGUGUAGAGGUGAAAUUCGUAGAUAUCAGGAGGAACACCAGUGGCGAAGGCGGCUUUCUGGACGAUAACUGACGCUGAGACGCGAAAGCGUGGGGAGCAAACAGG
rnacentral:rRNA from 1 species